GAUGAACGCUGGCGGCAUGCCUAACACAUGCAAGUCGAACGGUAAGGCUCUUCGGAGUACGCGAGAGGCGGACGGCUGCGUAACGCGAAGGCACACACACUGCAGUGAGGGAUAAGACACCGAAAGGUGUUCUAAUACCGCAUACGGUCUUCGGAUUAAAGCAUUUAUGGGCGGAAGGGGUGGCCUGGGUCAUAUUAGAUAGUUGGUGAGGUAAUGGCUAACCAAGUCGAGGAUGUGUAGCCGGUGUGAGAGGAGGAUAAGCCAGACUGGAACUGAGACACGGUCCAGACUCCUACGGAAGGCAGCAGUGAGGAAUAUUACACAAUGAGCGAAAGCUUGAUGAAGCAAUGCCGCGUGCAGGGUGAAGGCCCUCGGGUUGUAAACUGCUUUUAUAAGAGAAGAUUAUGACGGUAACUUAUGAAUAAGGGACGGCUAACUACGUG
rnacentral:rRNA from 1 species